GUGCUUGCUUCAGCAGCACAGAAACAAAACUGGAAUGACAAAGACAAGGCAAGGAUGGCCCCUGCUCAAGGAUGACAAGCCAGUUCAUGAAGCAUUACAUACUUUU
ensembl:snRNA U6 U6 spliceosomal RNA